UAUAAUAUGGCAGAUUCAAGUGUAUUGGUUUUAAACACCAACCAUAAAGAUUUAUUAAUCUUUUAUUAUAA
rnacentral:tRNA from 3 species